rnacentral:rRNA from 1 species
UACGUAGGGUGCGAGCGUUGUCCGGAAUUAUUGGGCGUAAAGAGCUCGUAGGCGGUGUGUCACGUCGUUCGUGAAAACCUGCAGCUUAACUGUGGGCGUGCGGUCGAUACGGGCAUCACUGGAGUUCGGCAGGGGAGACUGGAAUUCCUGGUGUAGCGGUGAAAUGCGCAGAUAUCAGGAAGAACACCCGUGGCUAAGGCGGCUCUCUAGUACGGUACUGACGCUGAGACGCGAAAGCGUGGGGAGCGAACAGG